CCUACGGGUGGCAGCAGUGAGGAAUAUUGGUCAAUGGGCGCGAGCCUGAACCAGCCAAGUAGCGUGAAGGAUGACUGCCCUACGGGUUGUAAACUUCUUUUAUAAAGGAAUAAAGUGAGGCACGUGUGCCUCUUUGUAUGUACUUUAUGAAUAAGGAUCGGGUAAAUUCGUGCCAGCAGCCGCGGUAAUACGGAGGAACCGAGCGUUAUCCGGAUUUAUUGGGUUUAAAGGGAGCGUAGAUGGGUUGUUAAGUCAGUUGUGAAAGUUUGCGGCUCAACCGUAAAAUUGCAAUUGAUACUGGCAGUCUUGAGUACAGGUGAGGUAGGCGGAAUGCGUGGUGUAGCGGUGAAAUGCUUAGAUAUCACGAAGAACUCCGAUUGCGAAGGCAGCUUACUAAACUGCCACUGACAUUGAUGCUCGAAAGUGUGGGUAUCAAACAGGAUUAGAUACCCGGGUAGUC
rnacentral:rRNA from 1 species